rnacentral:rRNA from 1 species
CCCUGAUGCAGCAACGCCGCGUGAGUGAAGAAGGCAUGCGUGUGCGUAAAACUCUGUAGUAGGGGAAGAAAGAAAUGACAGUACCCUAAAAGAAAGCCCCGGCUAACUACGUGCCAGCAGCCGCGGUAAUACGUAGGGGGCAAGCGUUAUCCGGAAUAACUGGGCGUAAAGGGUGCGCAGGUGGUUUAACAAGUUAGUGGUGAAAGGCAUAGGCUCAACCAAUGUAAGCCAUUAAAACUGUUUAACUUGAGUGCAGGAGAGGAAAGUGGAAUUCCUAGUGUAGCGGUGAAAAGCGUAGAUAUUAGGAGGAAUACCAGUGGCGAAGGCGACUUUCUGGACUGCAACUGACACUGAGGCACGAAAGCGUGGGGAGCAAACAGGAUUAGAUACCCUGGUAGUCCACGCCGUAAACGAUGAGUACUAGGUGUCGGGUGAAGAACUCGGUGCCGAAGUUAACACAUUAAGUACUCCGCCUGGGGAGUACGCUCGCAAGAGUAAAACUCA